rnacentral:rRNA from 1 species
ACGCUGGCUGUGUGCCUAAUACAUGCAUGUCGAGCGAGGUUAGCAAUAACCCAGCGGCGAAUGGGUGAGUAACACGUGCUUAAUCUACCUUUUAGAUUGGAAUACCCAUUGGAAACAAUGGCUAAUGCCGGAUACGCAUGGAACCGCAUGGUUCCGUUGUGAAAGGCGCUGUAAGGCGCCACUAAAAGAUGAGGGUGCGGAACAUUAGUUAGUUGGUGAGGUAAUGGCCCACCAAGACUAUGAUGUUUAGCCGGGUCGAGAGACUGAACGGCCACAUUGGGACUGAGAUACGGCCCAAACUCCUACGGGAGGCAGCAGUAGGGAAUAUUCCACAAUGAGCGAAAGCUUGAUGGAGCGACACAGCGUGCACGAUGAAGGUCUUCGGAUUGUAAAGUGCUGUUAUAAGGGAAGAACAUUUGCAAUAGGAAAUGAUUGCAGACUGACGGUACCUUGUCAGAAAGCGAUGGCUAACUAUGUGCCAGCAGCCGCGGUAAUACAUAGGUCGCAAGCGUUAUCCGGAAUUAUUGGGCGUAAAGCGUUCGUAGGCUGUUUGUUAAGUCUGGAGUUAAAUCCCGGGGCUCAACCCCGGCUCGCUUUGGAUACUAGCAAACUAGAGUUAGAUAGAGGUAAGCGGAAUUCCAUGUGAAGCGGUGAAAUGCGUAGAUAUAUGGAAGAACACCAAAGGCGAAGGCAGCUUACUGGGUCUAUACUGACGCUGAGGGACGAAAGCGU